rnacentral:rRNA from 1 species
UACAGGGGGUGCGAGCGUUAAUCGGAAUUACUGGGCGUAAAGCGUGCGUAGACGGUAGCGUAAGUCAGAUGUGAAAGCCCCGGGCUCAACCUGGGAACUGCAUUUGAGACUGCUCUGCUCGGGUGCGGAAGAGGGAAGCGGAAUUUCCGGUGUAGCGGUGAAAUGCGUAGAUAUCGGAAGGAACACCAGUGGCGAAAGCGGCUUCCUGGUCCGACACCGACGUUCAGGCGCGAAAGCGUGGGGAGCAAACAGG